ACUGCUGGUUAGCUACCGGCAAUAUCUCCCAAACUGAUACCUGGAACAAAUGUUUCAGGUGCCCAUUAGUCGGAACAGCCUGGGCAGACUCUAUUUUGCUCGUGAAUGUUGAGGGUGGAGUGAGGAGUGCUUUCCACCCUCCACUUGGAAGAUUAGAGUUCAAAUAUUCAUAAAAGUACGGUGGUAAAAUCAGGAAGUUUGGGCAUUGAUCCCAGGUCUACCGCAGACUGUCAGACUUAUCUUGGAUGACUUAUUUAAACCGUCUCAGCAUAUAUUCCCAUUUUCCAGCCGCUCAAGCAGAAACAGUAAUAUUCUCUAGUGUGACAUCCAAUAAUUGCCUUCUCCCACUCCUUCAGACUGAAUCGACUCCAGGUCCAAAACCGAGCAAUGAAUACCCCCUUCGCUUAAGACGCUGGGAAGUCUCCAGUAUUGUUUGUAUUGCGGUAACAGUAAGAACAGAAGAAAAGUUAACAACAGAAAUGGAAGGAAUACAAAAGUGUAGACUAGAUAAUAAUGACAUUUUCAGGCCCUGUCCUAUCAAUCGGCAGGGUGAGUUGGCCCGCUCAGGCAGCUGAUUUUAGUGUCACCUGAAGGGUAGCUAAUGGUUAGUUAUUUGUCUUAUUGUUGUAUCUUUACUCCCAAGGAGAGAUACUUGUGGGGUUUUAUGCCCCAGGCAAAAUAACUUGCACAAUCUUGGCUGUUUUGUACUUUGACUUGCAGUGGGGCGGGGGAAUGAUAUUUGCUGUUCAGCCUCAGGCAGCAAAAUGUUCUGGAUCGGCUGUGCCUUUCUCCCUUAAGAACAGUGGCGUAGCAUGGGUUCCCAGCACCCGGGGCCACGCAGAGGGGAACAGACGGAGUAUGCAUCCGUGUUACCCAGCAGAUUGCAGCCACAGAGAUAAGAAGAGUCGCUCCAUUGUCUGGAGAGGUCACUUCCUAGUUUGUAUGGAGAAGCCGUGUUCCACGGAGCCCAGAAACAGAAGCACACAACUGUACUGAGGGAGCACCAGGUGUUGAAAUUUUGCGCCCAGAACAAUUUGACCCCACUACACUGUUGGGAAACUGUGUACAUGCAGCUACUUACACAGAGUCAAUUAAGGUUUGGCAGCCAGCCAGAAGGUCAUGUGAAGGAGUAAGUCUGCCUGGUGAUAACAGAGACAAUGGAGACAGCUCCCUGAUUGGUCAAGCUCUCUCAAGGGAGUGAUAAUUAAUGGCCUACUAACUGGGAUGUGUUAGUUCAGUAGUUCAGAGGUUCAGAGUUCAGUGUCAGUGUAGGAGUUGUGAGUCGUGUCAGAGAGAGCUAGCUAAAGAUCCGUGUUCUGUUCCUGUAAAUAGUCCACUGUAUAUAAUAAACACCUAACUACAAGUUCCUGGUUCCUGCUUCGUCUAUCCUGUCUGCAGCCAAGUUGCCAAUUGCUUCCGUGGAUUCUGCGUGUACUCUGCUAGGUCUGGCUAAGGUCCUGCAACUAGUCAGAAAGUUGUGAAACACCAAAUAGGUUUUGCCUGAAGGGUAGCUAAUUGUUAGUUAUUUGUCUUAUUGUUGUAUCUUUACUCCCAAGGAGAGAUACUUGUGGGGUUUUAUGCCCCAGAAGGCAAAAUAACUUGCACAAUCUUGGCUGUUUUGCACUUUGACUUGCAGUGGGGCAGGGGAAUGAUAUUUGCUGUUCAGCCUCAGGCAGCAAAAUGUUCUGGAUCGGCUCUGCCUUUCUCCCUUAAGACCAGUGGCGUAGCAUGGGUUCCCAGCACCCGGGGCCACGCAGAGGGGAACAGACGGAGUAUGCAUCCGUGUUACCAAGGAGAUCGCAGCCACGGAGAUAAGAAGAGUCGCUCCAUUGUCUGGAGAGGUCAUUUCCUAGUUUGUAUGGAGAAGCCGUGUUCCACACAGCCCAGAAACGGAAGCACGCAGCUGUACUGAGGGAGCACGUGUUGAAAUUUUGCACCCCUAACAAUUUGACCCCGCUACACCGCUGCCUAAGACUGGAUACUGUUUACCUAUGGCAGCUGCAGCCCUAACAGGUGGCUAUCCAAUUUUACCCCCUGCUUCCGAAGAAGAUUCUACCACGUCCUGACAAUUCGCUGGAAUGCUGUGCAGUGCUAACCUUUCAGAAACCCUCCCAAUCCUUAGGAUCACAACUCAGGAAGAGAAGUGGACCCCAUCCUGAGAGGCCCACCUAAGAGUGGUGGCCCAUGUGUUGAGGCAGAGCCACAGAGCCACCCUCCUGACACCAGCAUCACUGGAUGGGGCUCGGCAGGGGGCUGACAUGGUUGAGACUGCAAGAACGUGCCAGUGGAGUCAAUCCGGCACUCCCAUCAGUGUGUCCACUGAGCAUCAACACCAGUAUUGGGAGGAAGGCUCCAUCCCAUUGUACAGGCUGCUCCUGCUACAUAAAAUAGAGUUCACCUAAGGACACAAGGUGGGGGGGGGUGUGAGGAAACAAAUACAGUAUGCAAAAGCUUGUUGUAUGGCAAACUUUGCCACAGUAUAUAUCAGUAAAUCACAGCAUACAUGGUAUAACCGGGCUGUUACAAAUAUGUACUUACUGAACAGAUGUACUGAAAAAUAAACUGUUUGUUUCAGAUUA